rnacentral:rRNA from 1 species
AUUGAACGCUGGCGGCAUGCUUUACACAUGCAAGUCGAACGGUAACAUGCCGCAAGGUGCUGACGAGUGGCGAACGGGUGAGUAAUGCAUCGGAACGGGCCCAGUCGUGGGGGAUAACGCAGCGAAAGCUGCCCUAAUACCGCAUACGAUCUAUGUUUGAAAGCGGGGGACCGUAAGGCCUCGCGCGAUUGGAGCGGCCGAUGUCGGAUUAGGUAGUUGGUGGGGUAAAGGCUCACCAAGCCAACGAUCUGUAGCUGGUCUGAGAGGACGACCAGCCACACUGGGACUGAGACACGGCCCAGACUCCUACGGGAGGCAGCAGUGGGGAAUUUUGGACAAUGGGCGCAAGCCUGAUCCAGCAAUGCCGCGUGCAGGAAGACGGCCUUCGGGUUGUAAACUGCUUUUGUACGGAACGAAACGGCCCUGGUUAAUACCCGGGGCUAAUGACGGUACCGUAAGAAUAAGCACCGGCUAACUACGUGCCAGCCGCCGCAGUAACAC